rnacentral:rRNA from 1 species
UUUUCAACGGCCGCGGUAUUCUAACCGUGCAAAGGUAGCGUAAUCACUUGUCUUCUAAAUAAAGACUAGUAUGAAUGGCUAAAUGAGAACAAACCUGUCUCCUAUAACCAAUCAGUGAAACUGAUCUUCCAGUACAAAAGCUGGAAUCAAAACAUAAGACGAGAAGACCCCGUGGAGCUUAAAAUAACAACUACUCAACACUGACGUUAGUAUAAUAUUUUGAGUUGGGGCGACUUCGGAAUAAAACGAAACUUCCGAGCACAGAACCACCACUUCUAACCACGGCCCACGAGCCUAAGUUAAAAAUGACCCGGCCUAGCCGAUCAACGAACCAAGUUACCCCGGGGAUAACAGCGCUAUCUUCUUCAAGAGUCCCUAUCAACAAGAAGGUUUACGACCUCGAUGUUGGAUCAGGACACCCAAAUGGUGCAGCCGCUAUUAAAGGUUCGUUUGUUCAACGAUUAACAGUCCUACGUGAUCUGA